rnacentral:rRNA from 1 species
GCAGGAAGAGAAAGAAAUAUCGAUUUCCCAAGUAGCGGCGAGCGAACAGGAAAGAGCCCAAACCGGCAGAUUUAUCUUCCGGGGUUGUAGGACUGAGACAUGGCACUUCAGAGGAUAGCAGAAGCGUUUGGGAAAGCGCGCCAUAGAGGGUGAGAGCCCCGUAAGCGAAAUCCAAAGAAGGCCUAUCAGUAUCCUGAGUAGGGCGGGACACGUGAAAUCCC